rnacentral:lncRNA from 1 species
GUUAUAUAUGUCGGAGACUGUCAAUAGUACGGACACUAAACGUCACGCAAGCGCGCCCUCUGGUGGCGUUUCCGGUGAAACAACAUUUUGGCGCGCUUGGCAGAGUAGUGGUGGUCGGCGUGGCGUCCGCGGAGCUCAGUCUUGGUCGAGGCGUCGUGCUGCGCACAUCUCGAUACUGCCUUUCGUUACGUGUAGUGUACCUAGUGUUAUUGCCUAGUGUUGUAGUACUGUUGUAGAUCCAUAUUGUAAAGUGUGUAAAGUGUCUUUUGAAAUUAAAGUGUAAAGGUUCUUCUAACCUAACAGACAGACAUGUGUUGCUGGGGAGUUUGUUCCGCCACUUCUUCUCCCCAAGCCAAAACACAUAGGAAGUGGCGAAGGGCGGGCGUUUUGGGGGCUGUCUUUUGUUCUGACUAAUUUGAAUAAACGUUUGACUUUUGAGUGUGAGUGUUUGAGUUUCUUUGAGUUAUCUCUUUGCUUCAUUACCCUAACUGAUGUCGGACGAUAGUGCCAUCCUUGAUGUUCGCCUCCGACAUCAGAAGUGGGAUGCAAUCCGAAUGCCCACGUGUGUUAAGGAUUGCCAUGCCAUUGUUCAAAAAGUGAAAAAGUGAUGUGCUCGUUCGGAGUGAUGUGUGGCGGCCGAUGGUGGAUUAGUUUCGGAAGAAUUCGCCACGUGAAGACAAACUUUCUGGAUUUCUGAGUGCACGAUAGGCACAGGCUGAAUACCAACCUACUGGGAGAAGAAAAUAAGGGAACAUCAGAAUUUUGAUAUGGAGGUUAUAGUAACCACGGUUAUGGUUUCAACAAUGACGGUGAUUAUUGUGCAAUCUGGCGGCAAAAUUACUGCGGAGCAUCCCAGCUGCCAGGAGCCUGACGUGUCAUCGUAAGGUCGGAGUGUUGGUGCUCGUGCAUCUACGUGGCUUCACGUCCGCGAAAGCCUUGCUGUACUGCGCGCCAUAGCGAUGUGCGCAUCGUCAUGCGCGUUGAGGUGUUGAGUGGAAACCCGAUAACAUCUAAGGUGAACCGAGCCUGGAGAACAGGACGAGGUCCACUAGUCAAGCGGCGCGCGAGGUGCGCUGCAGUUGCUGUUUGGAGCGUCAUCCUCCCCCGGAUUCGUCGUGGAGGCCGUAUGAGUUGCGGCAGGCCAGGACAUCGCAUGUCAUCGCACAAGGUGAAAGCAUUCUAUUGCAUUGAAAAUGUUUAGAUUGAUCAGACAAACUUGACAAUGACUAGCCUGUGUGGCAGCUAGGAGCCUGUGUGGCAGCUAGGAGCCUGUGUGGCAGCUAGGAGCCUGUGUGGCAGCUAGGAGCCUGUGUGGCAGCUAGGAGCCUGUGUGGCAGCUAGGAGCCUGUGUGGCAGCUAGGAGCCUGUGUGGCAGCUAGGAGCCUGAGUGGCAGCUAGGAGCCUGUGUGGCAGUUAGGAGCCUGUGUGGCAGUUAGGAGCCUGUGUGGCAGUUGGUAGCCUGUGUGCUACAUAGUGGUCAGGAGUGGCCGAGGUUGUACUGUGCAUACUGUGCUGUGUUUGUGUUGUUGCAGAUUAACCCACGAGGACGUGGGUCUACGCAGGAUGGCCGUGUCGGAGACUGUCAAUAGUACGGACACUAAACGUCACGCAAGCGCGCCCUCUGGUGGCGUUUCCGGUGAAACAACAUUUUGGCGCGCUUGGCAGAGUAGUGGUGGUCGGCGUGGCGUCCGCGGAGCUCAGUCUUGGUCGAGGCGUCGUGCUGCGCACAUCUCGAUACUGCCUUUCGUUACGUGUAGUGUACCUAGUGUUAUUGCCUAGUGUUGUAGUACUGUUGUAGAUCCAUAUUGUAAAGUGUGUAAAGUGUCUUUUGAAAUUAAAGUGUAAAGGUUCUUCUAACCUAACAGACAGACAUGUGUUGCUGGGGAGUUUGUUCCGCCACUUCUUCUCCCCAAGCCAAAACACAUAGGAAGUGGCGAAGGGCGGGCGUUUUGGGGGCUGUCUUUUGUUCUGACUAAUUUGAAUAAACGUUUGACUUUUGAGUGUGA